rnacentral:tRNA from 1 species
CGUAGCUCAACGGUAGAGCGCUCGGCUGUUAACCGAUAGGUUGUAGGUUCGAAUCCUACCG